rnacentral:rRNA from 1 species
AGUGAACGCUGGCGGUAGGCCUAACACAUGCAAGUCGAACGGCAGCACAGUAAGAGCUUGCUCUUACGGGUGGCGAGUGGCGGACGGGUGAGGAAUACAUCGGAAUCUACUUUUUCGUAGGGGAUAACGUAGGGAAACUUACGCUAAUACCGCAUACGACCUACGGGUGAAAGCAGGGGAUCUUCGGACCUUGCGCGAUUGAAUGAGCCGAUGUCGGAUUAGCUAGUUGGCGGGGUAAAGGCCCACCAAGGCGACGAUCCGUAGCUGAUCUGAGAGGAUGAUCAGCCACACUGGAACUGAGACACGGUCCAGACUCCUACGGGAGGCAGCAGUGGGGAAUAUUGGACAAUGGGCGCAAGCCUGAUCCAGCCAUACCGCGUGGGUGAAGAAGGCCUUCGGGUUGUAAAGCCCUUUUGUUGGGAAAGAAAAGCAGCAUGUUAAUACCCCGCUGUUCUGACGGUACCCAAAGAAUAAGCACCGGCUAACUUCGUG